rnacentral:rRNA from 1 species
GACGGAGGGGGCAAGCGUUGUUCGGAAUUAUUGGGCGUAAAGGGCGCGUAGGCGGCUGUACAAGUCAAAGGUGAAAUCCCUCGGCUCAACUGAGGAACUGCCUUUGAAACUGUACGGCUUGAGGCCGGGAGGGGGUAGCGGAAUUCCCAAUGUAGCGGUGAAAUGCGUAGAUAUUGGGAGGAACACCAGUGGCGAAGGCGGCUACCUGGACCGGUUCUGACGCUGAUGCGCGAAAGCGUGGGUAGCAAACAGG